UGACUCAAUAUAGUAAAAAAAUCCCAAUGGAUUUAAUCGAUCUAGCUACACAUGAUCAUGUUUAAAAUAACUAGGAAAUUAAUUACAAUGAAAGAAUAACAAAAAUGAAACAUAUACACCAUUUUCUCUCGAAUUGGAUGAACAGCUCCAAAUCUGAAUCAGCACUACAAUUGAUCUCCCCAAUUUCCUCUCGAUUUGCUCCACUACUGUUUUGCACUCGGAACCUUGCGAUUCCGGGAUUCUCCCUCUUUGCAACUCUCUUCUGAACUCAAAAACCGAACCAACCGCCCGAAAUCUCUCUCUCCUCCCUAUAUAAUUGUCCCAGCACGGCCGAAGUCCAGGCCGUGCUGAACCUUCGGAUCUCGCAAUUUAGGUCUUCUUCCUGGCCGUGCCCUCGCUGGUGCUGAACCACCAUGGGCCGUGUUGGAGGCCGUCGUAGCCUCAGAAACCAUGCCAAAACACCACAUUUGAGGACUAAAAGCUAAUGGUUGAGCACGGCCAGAGUCCAGGCCGUGCUGAUCAGCACGGCUUUGACUUAGGCCGUGCUCAAUGUUUGAAAUGCGAGCCCUUGUCCACUUUUGAUGAAUCCCCAUCCAUUUUCACACGUAUUGAUCUAGAAUUGCUCAAAUACUAAUGAUGGACCUAUAAAUUCUCCUGAAAUGCAAAAGGACACAAAACACGGGUGAUCUUGGAAUAAAAGCACAAUAAUUGCUAAGAAAAUACACAAUAAUAUGCAAGCAAAUAUGUGUAAAACCAUGCACAUCAUCAUUUUAAACAAUAAAGAUAAGAUAAAAAUUCUUACAUAGAUCAACAAUGUACACAAAAGGAAUUUGAAUGGAAAGAAUUAAAUGUUAU
rnacentral:lncRNA from 1 species